rnacentral:rRNA from 1 species
AUGCACGCUGGCGGCGUGCCUAAUACAUGCAAGUCGAGCGAACGGACGAGAAGCUUGCUUCUCUGAUGUUAGCGGCGGACGGGUGAGUAACACGUGGAUAACCUACCUAUAAGACUGGGAUAACUUCGGGAAACCGGAGCUAAUACCGGAUGAUAUUUUGAACCGCAUGGUUCAAAAGUGAAAGACGGUCUUGCUGUCACUUAUAGAUGGAUCCGCGCUGCAUUAGCUAGUUGGUAAGGUAACGGCUUACCAAGGCAACGAUGCAUAGCCGACCUGAGAGAGUGAUCGGCCACACUGGAACUGAGACACGGUCCAGACUCCUACGGGAGGCAGCAGUAGGGAAUCUUCCGCAAUGGGCGAAAGCCUGACGGAGCAACGCCGCGUGAGUGAUGAAGGUCUUCGGAUCGUAAAACUCUGUUAUUAGGGAAGAACAUAUGUGUAAGUAACUGUGCACAUCUUGACGGUACCUAAUCAGAAAGCCACGGCUAACUACGUG